rnacentral:lncRNA from 1 species
ACACACUUAGAAAUCAAAAUCCCUAAAUGCAGCUUCUAACGUUCUUGCCGUUGACAUACACUUUGUCUGAAACCCUCAUUCUUUCCAUUCUUCUACCAUUCACACAUUGCUAUUGCCGUCAUUCUUAAUUUAUUCUUCUUGUUCAGCUAUCACUCUCCUUCCUAUUAAGCCUUCAAUAUCCUCAGAUUUAUUUUGUCCCCAUUGUUGUCAGUCUCUUUCACUUCCUUUCAAAUUUUCCCAACUAAACCCUAAUUAACCGUUGUCAAGUGCUUGUUCGUGGAUGAUUGUGCCAAUGACGAUAUCCCUUUGCCCAACGUCACAGGUAAGAUCCUCUCUAAGGCCAUCGAGUACUGUAAUAAGCAUGACAAGGCAUCUAAGUCCGACAAUCUCGCCACUACUGGCAUCGAUGAUUAUCUCAAGGCUUGGGAUGCUGAUUUCGUCAAAGUCAAUUAGGCCGCUCUCUUUAAUCUCAUGCUUGUUAGUUGGCCUCUUUCUCUUUUCUUAAUUAUCAAUUAUUUCAUUUUAAUUUAUGUUUAGGGACCUUGGUUUUGUAUUUAGUUUCUUGAUUAAUUUUUGGGAUUUUUAUUUUAAAUUGACUGUUGAUUAAUUGAUAAAAUCAAAUAUAUGAUCCUUUUUAGAUACUGAUAAUGGGAAAUUGUAAUUCCACGUUGGAACCGAAAGUUCCUCUUUGGUCAAAUAUGGAUUGUUAAUAAGAAUUUUGAGUUUUUUCUUAUUUAAAUCAGAAAUCUAGUGGAGGAUGGGUUAGGAAUGAGAAUUUUUUUGUAAUGAUUUUGCACUUUGGUAAUUAUUUAUUUGAAAGCAAAUUCGCAUGUUAAUUUUUUUUUAAAAUAAAUUUGUUCUGUGUGAGCAGUAGCUACAUAGCCAGAAAAGAGUGGCCAAAGUUCAUGAUUUUCAAGAGGUGGCAAGGCAAAAUAAUAGAGAUGAUUGUUGGCUUGUAAUUUAAAGGAAGGUUAGUUCAUCUAACUCAACGGCUGUUCGAUUUACUUGCUUUUUCUUGAUCUCAUGGAUUUGUCUAUUCUGUUUUCUCUUUACUGCAUAGGGAACUUUUUUUUUAAUAUAAUAUUUGUUAGUUUUAUCUAAAAAUCAUUUUGGUUCAAUAUAAAGACUUUUUAAAGAUAAAGAUCUAGAAGUAAAUUUUUUAGGACCCAAAUAGGUGAGGACAGGAGAUAAACAUGCUAUUAAAAGACUAAAAAUUUAUAUGAUUCAUUUAAUAUUUUUUCCAUUCUCGGGGUAUUAUUAGUGGAAGUUUAUUGUAGUAUGCAUAGUUUGGUGAGAGAAUUAGAAAAUAGUAACAUGUCAUUGAAAAUCUGUACAAUUCUUAAUAUUUGUGAAUUUUCAUUGCUAAAUUAAAACUUCCUCAAUGACAGGAUUUUCUCCUAGCAAGAAUUUUUAAUCCCCAAGUUCGCUUUUUAAUGAUUUUCUUUAUUGCUUUAAAUUUUGUUUUAGAAAACUAGUUUUUCUGUUUUUCCCCUUUCGUUAACAACCAAUAUCCUUUCAAUUUCAAAACCCAGCAACUAUGAAUUCCAGCCUAUAAAAUCUCAAGUUGCUUUUCCUCUUGGUGCCAAAUUUAAUUUAAUUUGUUGAAAGAGACGAGUGCUUUUGUGUAAUAGCUAGGUGCAAGCUUAAUUGUUGAUCCUGUGUUUUUGUUUUAGGCUUGAACUUUUUGCUGCCAUCUCUUUCACAGGUCUAGUUUCCAACAACAAUCCACAAUAAAAUUAAUUCUCUGGCGAGUAGUUUUGAGUUUGCUUCUUUUACAUAUGCACAAAUAAUUAAUUUUUGUUGAUUGAAUCAAUUUUGUACGUUUAAUUUCAUUUUUAAUUUUUACUUUGAAAUACAAAUGUAUCCAUAUUCCUACUUUUGAGAAUUUAAUUUGUUCAUUAAAUUGUUGCUCUGUGGUUUGUUUUAAUAUAGAUAGGACUUAAUGUCUAUAUGCCUUAAGAGUAUCUUGUAUGUAUUAUUCACUGGGUAAUUCCUUAUAAUCCAGGAUCACUUAAAAUCCUGGAAUUUGAGCUUUAUUUUAAUUUUUUUUCCUUAUAAAAAUCACUUCCGAGAAGUACUAGAGAAUCAUUUGAUUGCUGUCCAGUGAGACCACAAAUCAAAAUUACAAUCAGUUGGUAUUUAUAUUUUAUCCAUGACCAACUAACACCUUUUAUAAUCAUGAAAUAACUCUCUUUUUUCUUCUUAAAAGUUUCAAAGACCACUGAUAGUUUUACAUGUUCAAUUAAGAAUGCCUUGGCUGAGUGGACAUUUUCCUUACUUUUAGUCUAAGAUGUUACUUUUUUUUUUUUUUAUGGUCAUGUAACAUAGUUAGAGUCAUUGAAAGUGCUUGAAACAUAGAGCAAAAUGACUACAGAAGCUUAAAGAGUUAGAUGAGAAAAACCAAUUAUUGACAUUAAGCUCAAAUUUUUAGUUGCUACAUGAUAAAAUUGAACGUUAUUACUUUAACACAACUUUAGGAUGAUUAUGUAUGCGUAUACUUGUUAUAUACAUAUAUUUUUCUUCUUAUUGCAACAAUGCUAGCAUAUAACUGAAACAUUUGAAUCUUAUUGUUGUUUUUAUUUCCAUUUUGGUUGGAUUCUCAAACGUGAUAAAUUAGUAUUUACGGAUAUUUUUAUUUAAAUUUAUUUACUUCUUGCUGAACAAGUGCAAGUGAACUUGUUAAGAUUUUCAACAAUCCUCUUUGUGCUCAGUCCUUCAGCAUUGCAACUUUUGCCAAGAAGGUAAUAGCCCAGAAUCAUGCAUCAUUCUUAUCUAUCAUUAUUUUUUAUAUGAUUAUUGAGCCAGAAUCAUGGAGCCUUAAUCAAUGUUAAUAAUCUUUCUAUUUCUUGGAAGCCAAAUAGAGCCUGUCGUGACAAGCUCUCACGAUAACCACUUCUUCGGCUCUUAUGAUAACCACUUCUCCGGUUCAUAAUUUUAUUUAAUGACUAAUGCAUCCCUAUUGCAAUUAUCAUGCCAUUAUGAGGCUCUACUUAUACAUUAGUUACAGAGCAUGAUAAGUGAACUUGAAAGAUAAUCUGUCAUCAUUCCUUAUUCUAAUACUACAGAUUGUCGGAAGAUGGUAUUUCUGCUGGAAUAUUUAUAAGUAAGAUGGGGAUGGUAAGGAAAAAAGGAAUUAUAGUACUAAUAUGAGAUUUGUGAAUGUAAAAAAAAAAGUAGCCCUACAGAAACUACAUAGGCCAAUCAAUUACUUAACUAAAACAAAUGGGUUUUGUGAGCUUUUUUUUUUUUGGUUUUGCGUGAACAAGCUUCGAAAUAAAAUAUUGCAAAAUUGGAGUCUAAUUGUUAUGUGUUAAGGUACAUGAAGGAAAUAAUAGAACAUGUUAGCUUGUUAGGGAACAAUGUGAGUUAAUGAUAAGAUAUCUUAAUUUUCUUUUAUUCCAUAUAUGUGACAUUAUUUUUGAAGUUUGACAAUAUUUAUUGUUGUGAUUAACAGUUUAAUGGAAAGAAAGCAUAAACUUAGGAUGAAUUAGAUGAGGUUCAUUUGGAGUGGGUUAACCAUUUUCCAACAUCCUUAUCCCGUCAGCAAAAUGGUUAGUAUGCAUAUAAAACUUUAGAUAUUACAAUUUGUUGAAAUUUAAAGUUGUAGUUUCAAAUUAUAAUGGUUAUUGUUAAGGAUUGUAUAGUAGAUAUUAUGCAUUUGAUAACAUAGGGUAUUUUGAUUGAUUCUGCAUAGAUUGGUUUACUAAGUUUGGGUUAGAAUAUUGCUGGGUAUAUGGCUGGAAUUAGAGUGCUGUUGGAAAAUGGUGGGUUGUUGGGUAUGGAUUAGACUGUUGCUGGGUAUGCAGCUGUUAGAGUAUUGCCGUUGGAAGAUGGUAUUGGUGCUGGAAGUCUUGUCGGAAUUCUUGUUGUUGGAAUAUUUCCAUUAAUCUUUGGAAGUUUUGUUGGUUAAGUUGACUUGGUGGCUAGAAUUUUAAUUGCUUUUCUUGGAGUUUAAUUGAAAUUUAACUGUUGUUUUAUAUUUUUGGAUAGUAUUUUUUUUAAUUUGGGAUGUCUUAUUAUGUAUUGGUGGUGAUCACAUUGGAUACUAGAUGUAUUUCCUUUUAAAUUAAUUCGCUGGAUUGAAUAGAUGUUAAUUAAUAUUAAUUUUUUUAGUUUUUUUACGAUAUUCAUUUUAUUAAUUAAUUAAAUUUGUAAAUUGGAAUUCAUUAAGAAAUUAUAAUUACAAUAUAAUUUUUUUUUUAAAAAUAUAUAACUUUAUGACGGGAAAUACCCAUCAUAAAGUCUGUCAUAAAAAAUCUCCUACCAAAAUUGAAUAAUAAAUUUACAAAUGAUAAUUGAAUUUCAUGCCAAAAAUUUAAAAAAAUGGUGCAAAAAUUUAAAUAAAUUCAAAUUUUAAUUUUAUUAUUUUUUAUAUUCAAAUAUUAUGUGAUGGAUAUAUGACUGUGAAUUACCAUCAUGAAUCAUGACGCAAGAUAUUUUGUCAUAAAUUAAUGACAGUGAUAUAGAUGACGAAUGAACUGCUUCUCAUGCACCCCUUUUUAUAACAGUUAUUUCCCAUCAUAUAUUACCUAUUUUCUUGUAGUGUACAAACUUGUAAGUACAUAAGAACACUAAAAAUUGUCAUAAGUUAUUCGUUAUUAGUCAUUCACUACAAGAAAAUUGGCAAUAGAUGACAAACAAUUUGCGGCAGAUUCUGAGUGAAAUUGUAUAUAUCAUAAAAGUAUGAUGGACUCGUGAUAUAAUAUGGUUCUAUCAUGCAUUAAUGAUGAUUUUUGUGAUAGAAUUAUUGUUUAUCAAGAAUAGAUGAUAGAAUCGUGAUAGAAAUUUGCUAUGUCAAGAAAUUGUGAUAGAUUAAGAUUUUGACUGUGUUUGACCAAAUUUUAAUGUAUUAUUUUAUUUUUAAAAAUCAAACAGUGCAUUUAAAAAAAAAAAAAAAAGAAUAAAAUGCUACAAUUUACAAAGGAUUGCUUAAAACACGCAAGUUUGUCUAAGUGUUGGACAUUCACCCAGCCACUCUCCAUUUUGCCUCCCUCUUUCAUCAUUUGAAAACCUAGAACUAAACUUUUAGUCCUAAUCGAUCAUAAAAACUCUUACUAUUUUUGCCAUUCAAAAUGCCACCAUUCUUCCUCCAUUCAAGCCGUCAUGCUUGCUUGCACUCUCGUUUCAAGUUGUUUCUCAAUCUCUUCAUCUUUUCAUCAUCUCCACAUGCAGAGAUCUACCAAUGCCAUGAGAAUCAAUUGUUUUUUUAAUUUCGUUCCUCGACAAAUCAAUCCAUAUUCAGGUAAGGUUGCUGAUUUUUUUAAAAAAAUUAAAAUUGAAGGGUAUGUAUUAAAACUUGUGGGUUUAGUUUUCUAAAUACUAAAAUUGAUGGGAUUUUGGUGGAGAAAUUGAUUGUGUUUGAUUUGCAUGAUAUUGGACUUGUUGUGGAGGGCAAGGUACUGGUGGCUCGUGGCUGUCACGAUGGUUAGGGUUUGGCUUUAUCUUGAAAUUUUCAUGUUCAAUUAUCUUGUACAUUUUACCCGCUCUUGUCUAAAAAAUCAUGAUUUGGGAAAAUUUGAAUAUAUAUUGAGGAUUGAACAUGUUUAAUUGGUUUAUAAUUCCGAAAGAUUUUGACGCAUGUAAGGUGUUUGAUUAAAUGUCUAUUAGAGAUUUAUAUAGUUAAUAAUUUUAUUUUUAUCUACAUAAUAUAUGAGAAGGUGUUUGAUUAAAUGUCUGUUAGAAAUUUAUAUAGUUAAAUUACUAUUUGUCUCUACAUAAUUUAGGAGAAAAUGGCUAAAGAAAGUUAUGAUGGUUGCUUUUCUUGGUUUUUUGGAGGUUCCCGUCAUCAUUAUUUAAUGUACUAUUGCAUGAUAAUUUUUGUCUUUUGCUUAAUGGCUUGCCAUGUAGUUUGUGAAGCAUAGAUCAUUGACGGCUGCUAGCAUUUGUGGGAUGCUUGGAAUGUUCCAGAAUGUAUGUGUUUCUAAUUUAUUGCUCAGUGCCUGCUGUGUUAAAUGUUUAAGUUUAUUUGGAAGGAGGUUUUAAUUAGUUAGUACUUAAAAAGAAUUUGAUUUUUGACUUCAUAUGUUUUUUCAUGAACUUGUGUUUUAGCAUAUUACCAAUUUGCUGCCAAAUGCAAGCUUAGAUUAUAUUCUAAUUUCAUCAGUGUGUAAUAAGCUCUAAUUUUUAUGGUGAUCUUUUUCUUUCCAUGAAGUAUACUGUUGGCCAGAUUUUAGCCCAUGUUUUUCAUCCAUAAGAUUAUAUUGUUUUCGUAUUCAUUAGGUCUCUUUCAUUCCAUAAUAAUUUAGAAUGUAUGACACAGAUAUUUUGUCUUAGAGUUUUCUUGCCAAAUUUUUUAUGCUAGAUUUAUCUAGUAUAUUUUACAAAAUAGAGCUAUUAUAAGAUUUUUGUUUUGAGAUCCCUUGUUCUGUGCUCUUUUAAUUUCUUUCAUUUGAUAAGUGAAUACUUCUUUUAUAAAUAAUGAUAAUUGUGUAAACAUUAUUUAAUGCUUUUUAUCAUUUUUUUAACCGUAAUAUUGCUGAUUUCUUGGUGAUGUUCCUUCAAAUUCACAAUUUUAAUUGAUGCUGAAUUUUACAAUUUAAUACGUGAUUCUUUAUUACAUUUCCUAGCAGUUACAUUGUUUGUCUAAUUGUAAGAAUGGGAUGGUCUGAUGGUAUCUAAUUUUGCUUUGGAGCAACAACAUCAUACAGCAAGCAAGAGCUAAGUCAUGAAUCGUACCAAGUAAUAGCACUUUAGGUUAUGCUCCAAAGUGUAAUUCACAAAUUAUCUCUUUAUAUGGGGCAUUUAUUGUAUUGAUGUACGUACUGUAUUGUCCUAGCUGAAGUUAAUGGAAAUAUGAGUUUGCUGCUAAAUAAUUUGAUUUUAUAGAUAAUUAGUUUGUAGGCUUCUUGUUAUCUCUAUAAAAUGUAUUUAUCUAGAAAAUACACAUCGAGCCUUAGCAAAUUUUGGCUUUUUAAAAAAAAAAGAUUUACACAUUUACAUUUUAUAUCUUCUUCUAUUUGACCAUAACCUAUAAAUUGUAAUUAAAUCAUCAUUUGAGCAACUCACUAACCUUCGCAUAUUGAUUUGUCCUCAGGAUGAUGCUGCUUGUCGUUUAAUUGCUAGACUUAAAAAGGAAAGGGAUGAAGCAUGGUCAUUACUUGAAAGACAGGUAAUGCUUGUAGCAUCAACUGCAAUUACAUCUAAUGCUACUCUUAGUAAUGGAAAAAGCGGUUCUUUCUCUCUGUCGUUUUAGGUUUACUUUUGUUUCAGUAUCCCUCAUAUUUACCUUUUACUUAUUUAUUAUCUCAUUCGAUAUCUUAGCCCCAUAAGAUGAGGAUUUGGGCCCUACUAAAUAGAAAAUACAUGCUGGAAUUACUCCGGCAUUAUUGCUAAGUUGAUCGACCCUAAUGCGGGCUCUUUCACAGCAGUAGAAAAAGUAGCAGGUAAAGUUCGUUAAUGUGGAUAAUUAUGCGCAUACAAGUACCAUUUAUGACUUUUACUUUGUUUGAUGCUGGAAUUAGAGUGCUGUUGGAAGAUGGUAUUGCUGCUGCAAGUUUUGCCAGAAGUCUUGCUAUUGCAAUAUUUGCAAUAAUCUUUGGAAGUUUUGUUGGUUAACUUGGUUUCGUGGCUGCAAUUUUAAUUGCUUUUCUUGGAGUUUGAUUGGAAUUUAAUUGUUAUUUUAUACUUUGGGAUAACUUUUUUCAAUUUGGGAUGUUCUGUUAUGUAUUGGUGGUGAUCACAUUCGAUACUAGAUCUAUUUCUUUUGAAAUUAAUUUGUUGGAUUGAAUGGAUGUUAAUUAAUAUUAAUUGUUUUUGGUUUUUUUAUGAUAUUUGUUUUAUUAAU